CCCCACACGUCCUUCUUUCCUCUCCUCGGAUGGAUUCCUAGGGUUGCCGCCGCCUCGCCUCUCCCCCGCGCUCAUGCCUCUCCUUCUCCCGCCCCGGGCACCACCUCCUCCGGGCCCCUGCCUACACUCCGCCCCUUCCUCUUCUUGUUGUGGCAGACAUCGCUGCUGAGCAUGCCUGCGUCGCCGCUGCUGCGGAGGGCUCCUCGACUCCGCUGCAUCCGAGGAGGGUGCCCUAUGGAGGGCCCUAAAUGUAGUAGGCGACUCCAUCCCAUGUCGCGUACGGCGGAGGCCAGGCCAAAUCCGCCUCCUCCAGACCAUCCACUUCGUCACACAAAACGAAAAAGGUUGGCCCUAGUUCGAGCUCCGCCACCCCAUCCCAGGUCGUUGUUCAUCAGUGGCAGGCCAUGCUCCGCCUCCUCAACACCCACUGUGUCUGCGACCGGACCUUGACGGCGUUUGCCCUGGACAGGACCUCAACGGCGACCUCUAGAUAUUAAAAAGGAUCGACCGGAUAAUGCCCUUGCAAUCACUGAUUUCGCUAUCAAGUCUACAAUCCAGUGUUGAUGUGUCAACACGGGAAGCAACGGCCAGCAGAGCGAUUCGGACGAGAUGCUUGCUACUAGUUUCCUCGCCAUGCCGCGACCAGAGCCUCCGCCGGUCAGUACUGUUGCUGUCUUCUUCGACAACGGCAAGAUCCGUAGCACAUGCGAGUGGAAGACUGCGCUGCCAGUUUAGGUGUUGUUUCUCCAGGUAAUAUGAUUCUCCGUCAUGUUUUCCCAAGCACUAACAAAUUCCAUCAUUUGUUUGGCUUGCAUGUGAACAGGUCGAUGGGAAUUUUCUGGCUGUGGCUCUAAGCUGAAUCAGCACUUGAUCAACCUCAAGCCAUUGUGAUGGCUCCACUAGUAGGCACAAGAUGGAAACUACCAGUUUGAGAAGGGGCUAGCCGAAAUGAACAAGGGUCAUCUACAACAAUAGCCGCUUUUGUAAAGGAUGGAAGUACACUUUAGAGGAUUGCGCACCUAUGAAGCGGUUAUUGAUGAAGUCAUGGACAAGGGACUUGCCAAUGCUACACAGUCAUGAAAUCCUUAUCGUCUUCCUUCUUCCAUACAUGAUAUACAACGCUAUCAUUAGUCCAAGUUAAAGCAGUUCUUGUGAUGCUUGAUACUGUUGGCAGGAGUGCUGACGGCAACCACAGGAGGGGGUCGGGGUGAUCGAAGAAUAAGGCGUGGGUGACUCCGGCGAGAUGUUUGUAGAGCGGAUGUCAAUGAUGCGGCAAUGAGAAGACCCUCACUCUUCACAAUUCAUAGAUCCUGGCGUCUUGCAUUAAGAAAGCACAACAAUAAAAGCCACAUUCUACCGUCAUUGCAGAGUGCAGGCAUGGAAGGGGUGGUAAGCCAAGAGAUAGUCGUGACUCAAAAAAUUGUUGAAUGUGUGGAUGGGGUAGCUCAAAUAUAGAUUCUGAAAAGAGGAAAAGGCGCUAAAGUUGUCCUGGAAGCAAUUAUUUUUCAUACAUGUUUUCAUUCUGAUAAGGAACUACUCAAAAGAUAAGUUUCAAGGAACUAAUCAACAAAGUGCAGUACAUUGAAAUACCUAAUUCAGCAUGUUGGUGAUACACUGAUCGUGGAUGGGGUAUGAUUUUUUGCUUAUAUGCUGCAACAUGUUGAAUUAGGUAAGAUGAAGCUAAGGUGAACAAACUCAAACCACGAUCAGUGUAUCACCACCUGCCAGUGAAGCUCCAUUUUUCUAUAGUUAAGCCACGACAAUGGUUUAGAAAACAAACCGACUCUACCAUACUUGAUUAUUGCAUUCCAAAGUCCAAACACUAUAGAAAAAGGUUUUUCAUUUACGGGAAACAGUACUCUUGUACUGCAUAUAUUCAUAAAUCUAUAGAAAAGGUUUUGACUGUUCAAUACAAGAAAACAUAAUCUUAAUAUUCUAUAAUCCUGAGUUAUCCAAGUUCAACCACCAUCAAUGAUUAAUGGGAUUCAAGCUGAUUCAGUCAGAGUUGCAAAAACUUGUACAUCUCCUGGAUAACAGUUUUGGUGAUACUCUGAAAUGAGUUUUCCUGCAAAGACAUGCGUGAAAAGUCUAACCAAAAAGGAGAGAGGUGUUACUAAGGGAGUGCUCAAGCAUGGAAACGAAAAAAGGAAUUAUUUUAGUCAAAAAUGGAAUUUGGUGUUUUUCCCUGUGUAGACACGAUUCCUGAUAAAUACAUGAAGCACUGAGGCACCAUUGUGCUAGCAAACUGCAUAUCCCUAUUUAAUCGAACCAGCUAUUGUCCUGUUUUUACACCCAUAAUGCACUUCUAAGAUAAGUGUAUCUAUAUUCUGGAAAUUUUUAUUUGUUCAA